UACGUAGGGUGCGAGCGUUGUCCGGAUUUAUUGGGCGUAAAGAGCUCGUAGGCGGUUUGUCGCGUCGGCCGUGAAAUCUCCACGCUUAACGUGGAGCGUGCGGUCGAUACGGGCAGACUUGAGUUCGGUAGGGGAGACUGGAAUUCCUGGUGUAGCGGUGAAAUGCGCAGAUAUCAGGAGGAACACCGGUGGCGAAGGCGGGGUCUCUGGGCAGUAACUGACGCUGGAGGAGCGAAAGCGUGGGGAGCGAACAGG
rnacentral:rRNA from 1 species